rnacentral:rRNA from 1 species
GAUGAACGCUGGCGGCGUGCCUAAUACAUGCAAGUCGAGCGAACGGACGAGAAGCUUGCUUCUCUGAUGUUAGCGGCGGACGGGUGAGUAACACGUGGAUAACCUACCUAUAAGACUGGGAUAACUUCGGGAAACCGGAGCUAAUACCGGAUAAUAUUUUGAACCGCAUGGUUCAAAAGUGAAAGACGGUCUUGCUGUCACUUAUAGAUGGAUCCGCGCUGCAUUAGCUAGUUGGUAAGGUAACGGCUUACCAAGGCAACGAUGCAUAGCCGACCUGAGAGGGUGAUCGGCCACACUGGAACUGAGACACGGUCCAGACUCCUACGGGAGGCAGCAGUAGGGAAUCUUCCGCAAUGGGCGAAAGCCUGACGGAGCAACGCCGCGUGAGUGAUGAAGGUCUUCGGAUCGUAAAACUCUGUUAUUAGGGAAGAACAUAUGUGUAAGUAACUGUGCACAUCUUGACGGUACCUAAUCAGAAAGCCACGGCUAACUACGUGCCAGCAGCCGCGGUAAUACGUAGGUGGCAAGCGUUAUCCGGAAUUAUUGGGCGUAAAGCGCGCGUAGGCGGUUUUUUAAGUCUGAUGUGAAAGCCCACGGCUCAACCGUGGAGGGUCAUUGGAAACUGGAAAACUUGAGUGCAGAAGAGGAAAGUGGAAUUCCAUGUGUAGCGGUGAAAUGCGCAGAGAUAUGGAGGAACACCAGUGGCGAAGGCGACUUUCUGGUCUGUAACUGACGCUGAUGUGCGAAAGCGUGGGGAUCAAACAGGAUUAGAUACCCUGGUAGUCCACGCCGUAAACGAUGAGUGCUAAGUGUUAGGGGGUUUCCGCCCCUUAGUGCUGCAGCUAACGCAUUAAGCACUCCGCCUGGGGCGUACGACCGCAAGGUUGAAACUCAAAGGAAUUGACGGGGACCCGCACAAGCGGUGGAGCAUGUGGUUUAAUUCGAAGCAACGCGAAGAACCUUACCAAAUCUUGACAUCCUUUGACAACUCUAGAGAUAGAGCCUUCCCCUUCGGGGGACAAAGUGACAGGUGGUGCAUGGUUGUCGUCAGCUCGUGUCGUGAGAUGUUGGGUUAAGUCCCGCAACGAGCGCAACCCUUAAGCUUAGUUGCCAUCAUUAAGUUGGGCACUCUAAGUUGACUGCCGGUGACAAACCGGAGGAAGGUGGGGAUGACGUCAAAUCAUCAUGCCCCUUAUGAUUUGGGCUACACACGUGCUACAAUGGACAAUACAAAGGGCAGCGAAACCGCGAGGUCAAGCAAAUCCCAUAAAGUUGUUCUCAGUUCGGAUUGUAGUCUGCAACUCGACUACAUGAAGCUGGAAUCGCUAGUAAUCGUAGAUCAGCAUGCUACGGUGAAUACGUUCCCGGGUCU